CGGGGUAUAGCUCAGCUUGGUAGAGCGCUAGGAUCGGGACCUAGAGGCCGCGGGUUCAAAUCCUGCUACCCCGACCA
rnacentral:tRNA from 1 species